AGCGAACGCUGGCGGCAGGCCUAACACAUGCAAGUCGAACGAACCUUUCGGGGUUAGUGGCGGACGGGUGAGUAACACGUGGGAACGUGCCUUUAGGUUCGGAAUAACUCAGGGAAACUUGUGCUAAUACCGAAUGUGCCCUUCGGGGGAAAGAUUUAUCGCCUUUAGAGCGGCCCGCGUCUGAUUAGCUAGUUGGUUGAGGUAAUGGCUCACCAAGGCGACGAUCAGUAGCUGGUCUGAGAGGAUGAUCAGCCACAUUGGGACUGAGACACGGCCCAAACUCCUACGGGAGGCAGCAGUGGGGAAUCUUGCGCAAUGGGCGAAAGCCUGACGCAGCCAUGCCGCGUGAAUGGUGAAGGUCUUAGGAUUGUAAAAUUCUUUCACCGGGGACGAUAAUGACGGUACCCGGAGAAGAAGCCCCGGCUAACUUCGUG
rnacentral:rRNA from 1 species